CCACUUUGACAAUAUUUACUUAAGUAUUUUUCCCCCACCUCAUUCACACACAUGCUCCCCCACACUGGUUCCCUUAAAUAGUUCCAGUAGAAUUUUUUUUUAAUCCCCUCAAGAAAGGAAAGAGAAAGUCCAACCGCUACGGCAAUACUUUUAAGCUCUACUAAAUGAUCGUAUCCUUUCUGGCUUCGAAACUUUUGUACCUAAAAAUCGAGAGAGGCGCUGCAUUUUUUCAGCUGAAACUGUCAAAACUUGGAGAAGGGGAACCUCGGAGGCAGGCAGGAGAGGAGGAGAAUCCCGAAAACUCGGUGGAGGUUGGGAAGAUGCUGUGCCUCGAGGAUUAGUUUAAACAGGGGCUAUAAAAGAUGUAACAGAUGCAAACUGUAACACAAGGGCCAUUAACCCUUUCUCUGCCGAGCACACUCAGUCCCCACGCCCCGCACCUAUUGUCUCCUGUGCUAGAAGCUUUGCAGAAAACCUGGAAAGUGAGUAUCAGUUUCCAGACAUUCGCUGAGAGGGGAGGGGGGCAGAGAGAAGGGGAAGUGGAUGAUUUAGAAAGCACCUUGAAUUCAACCUAGGCAUAGGGAGUGACUUUUAUGUUUGACACGUUUUGUCAUUUCUUGGCGUUCUAUUGAUUUGAAAUGGUUGGGGAAAAUCCUGAAAUAAGGGAACGGUCACACAAGUGUCUGGGAUGAAACAGCUGGCCUGUCUGUAUUCAUGCUGAGACUUACACACGAUUGCAUAUAAAUACAUGUUUAAUAAAGUAAGCUGCUAGUUUUAUGAGCGUGUGUGUAUGUGAGAGAGAGAGAGAGAGAGAGAGAGAGAGAGAGGGCAUUUGUGCUGUAAACUUUAUCUUUGCCUGUUAUUUCUAACUCUGGAGUUAGUAAUCUUGCCUUCAUCAUUAUAGGGGGAGCAUGUAAAAUACAUAAGUAGGUGGGAGAUAAACACAUUCAUGUUAGCCGGGCUCAUCACUGUUCCUGGGAACUUCUGUUAUCUCUCUCGACUUUUCAGUGCCAAAGUAUGGAAUGGGAUAUGUGUGUGCAUGUGUCUCCUGCUAAAUCCAUGUCUAUAUUACUUUGCCAUUUAAAAUACAAUUUCAAAAGUUAUCCUUAAUUUUAAAACUCUGAUAUCCUGACAGCAGCUUUCUUCCCAGCUGUAGUGACCCCCCCCCCAACACACACACACUUUGGUAAACGACUCGAGUUCCAUGAGGACUUUCACUUCUUUAUUUAUCAUCACAGAAGUGAGGUGUUACUUCACAUACAUACACACACAAAGAAUAAAAUAAAGAAAUGAAACUCGCUAAGCAGACAAAAACAGGCAACUUUCUGCUUAGAAAACAGCCUUCUCGGGUGGGAGAGGAUGCACUGCCAUAUCUAAGAGAAAGACUUGCCCCUGAAUUUGGUAGGUUUGUAUCGAUCAAGUUUUGUAAUUAUUCACAGGUAUUUGCCAAGUUUUAAUUGCUGAAUACAAUGAAUUGGCACUAGAUGCAAAAAUAGAGCAGAAUCUCUCCCCUUGAAGAGUUUUCAUUCCACCAUAUAGUUCUCAAUAAAACUUUUCCUAGGCUGGGUAGCAAAAGGCACCUUUGGUUACCUGAAUGGACAGGUACAGGGCAAAUUAUUUGGGGGAGGAAAAAAGAAGAGAAAAGGAAAGAGAGAGUGCCGGAGAGCCAGAGAAAUCAAAGAAGUCACUCUUGGGAAAAGCUUGCCAUAAAGGAGCUAAACCCACCUGAAAUUCCUGCCCACAGACACUCCUUCUCACUUCAGACUCACAUCCCCACUUAAAAGGAGAAAAAUCAUAAAAGGAGGGUGGGGGAUGACCAUACCAAAAGGGAAUAAAAAGAGAGAAAAGGGGAAAAAAACCUACCUGCGAAGUCUUGUUUGUAGUUUUGGCCAGAAAUGGUGAGAAGAAAAAGCAUGAAGAAGCCGCGAAGUGUGGGGGAGAAAAAGGUGGAAGCGAAGAAACAGCUCCCGGAGCAAACUGUACAAAACCUCGCCAAGAGUGUCGGGAGGCAGGACCGUUAUUCCUGCGGAGCAGGUUAGAACUGAUCUCUUUCGGCCACUCCAGGAAACACAAACCUGGGGACGGACUGACGUGUUACGCCUCUUCUAAUGACAUUUUUUUCUUUUUCUUUUCUGUAGGAGAGAGAGGAGAGACCCUGAAACACGCGCCACCUAUCUUUGUGGGGAGGGAUAAUUGAAGCGCCCUGAGCGUGAGCAUCAUGUGAAAACGUGAUCGCCAAGUUUCUCUCUGGGAAAGGAUCUGGGAUAGAUUAUACCUUGAAGUCUCCGCAAACGCUUUAGUGGAAGAAAUGAAAUUCCACCUCCCUCCCUUCCUCUCUCCCUCCCUCUCGCCUCCCUCCCUCCCUCCCUCCCUCUCUUCUCCACGCCCCCCCCNCCCCCCCCCCCCCCCCCCCCCCCCCCCCCCCCGUCAAGCCUUUGGCAUCAUUAUCCUCAUCACUAAAUCCUACAGAGUACAGGGCGGAAAACGGUGCACACCAUUCACAGAACUGGAGAACUCUAAGGGGCGAAAGUUAAAGGGAAAGAUCCCGGGUCCUUAAUCCAGAUCGCCUCUUCUUAUACAGAUAUUUCUAAUGGCCAGACUUGAGAUGCACAUUAAGUUGUGUGGAUUUCUCAGCACGUCUUCUGGAACUAAAUUCUUUGCCCUUUUUCUUCUUUUAUUUUAUUUUAUUUUUCUUUUUGGAUGGCAGAGCCAGAAAAAAAAAUGCUGCAUGUGAACUACAUCUUAGGGUGUGUGUGCUGGGGUGUGUGUAUGAUGAAUUUCUGGAUUGGAUCUCAAUGGUAAAAAGUAGUUUGGCAUUUUUAAAAAGGGUCUCUAAGUAAAUUAACAUAGAGCGCUGGGUUGACUGAUCUCUGAAUCUCUCUACAUCUCACGGAGACCUCACUACAAAGUGAGGGAGUGUGUGUAGGAGGAAAAGGAGAAAGGCCAUAGAGGGACUUAGCAGGGAAGGAAGAGUAUGAUAUUAAACGGCAUGGGGUCUAAGUUUUGGAGUAUAUAUUUUUCUGAUAUUGCAAUUAAAGUAAAAUUAAAAAGAAAAGACUCCACCUUUGCUCUGAAGGGAUUGGUUAUGUAAAUAUGGAAGGGAUUUCCUGGAGAAUACAGCUUUCUACUGUAUGGUUAAUUAAAUAAUCACUCAAAAGCUUCCAACGUGACGCUUCUGUCGUAAUCCAAUCAGGUUACAUAGGUCCUAAACAAGAAAGAUAUUUUCCACAUCUGGAAGUCAGCAAUUUAGCAAGUACUGCACAUUAUUAACCGAUUCAGAGCCCACUUCCCAGGGGAAUUUUUUUUGAAGUUUAAGUGUUCUUAACCAAUGCUCUGCUGUUUUGUUAAUCAAAAAGCUGGUUUACACUGCACGUAAUUGGAACUAAUAUAGAAGUAAAUAAAGACAGCCAAAUUUGAGGAUGCUGAGCACA
rnacentral:lncRNA from 1 species